CUGUUCCCAUCUCGAACACAGUAGUUAAGCUCGUAAACGCCGAAAGUACUUGGCUGGAGACGGCCUGGGAGGAUAGGAAGUCGCUGAUU
rnacentral:rRNA from 1 species